CUGAAACAUCUAAGUACCUGCAGGAAGAGAAAGAAAAUUCGAUUCCCUGAGUAGCGGCGAGCGAAACGGGAAAAGCCCAAACCAAUGAGCUUGCUCAUUGGGGUUGUAGGACUCCAAUAUGGUAGUUCUUUCAGAUAGUCGAAUGACUUGGAAAAGUCAGUCAAAGAGGGUAAAAACCCCGUAGAUGAAAUUUGGAAGGCACCUAGGAGGAUCCUGAGUACGGCGGAACACGAGGAAUUCCGUCGGAAUCCGGGAGGACCAUCUCCCAAGGCUAAAUACUCCCUAGUGACCGAUAGUGAACCAGUACCGUGAGGGAAAGGUGAAAAGCACCCCGGAAGGGGAGUGAAAUAGAACCUGAAACCGUGUGCCUACAACAAGUCAAAGCCCGUUAAUGGGUGAUGGCGUGCCUUUUGUAGAAUGAACCGGCGAGUUACGAUUGCAUGCGAGGUUAAGUUGAAGAGACGGAGC
rnacentral:rRNA from 1 species